rnacentral:rRNA from 1 species
GACGAACGCUGGCGGCGUGCUUAACACAUGCAAGUCGAACGGAAAGGCCCUGCUUUUGUGGGGUGCUCGAGUGGCGAACGUGUGAGUAACACGUGAGUAACCUGCCCUUGACUUUGGGAUAACUUCAGGAAACUGGGGCUAAUACCUGAUAGGAGCUCCUGCUGCAUGGUGGGGGUUGGAAAGUUUCGGCGGUUGGGGAUGGACUCGCGGCUUAUCAGCUUGUUGGUGGGGUAGUGGCUUACCCAGGCUUUGACGGGUAGCCGGCCUGAGAGGGUGACCGGCCACAUGGGGACUGAGAUACGGCCCAGACUCCUACGGGAGGCAGCAGUGGGGAAUAUUGCACAAUGGGCGGAAGCCUGAUGCAGCAACGCCGCGUGCGGGAUGAAGGCCUUCGGGUGGUAAACCGCUUUCGCCUGUGACGAAGCGUGAGUGACGGUAAUGGGUAAAGAAGCACCGGCUAACUACGUG